GAGCGCCAGAUGGGUCUCCGGAUACCGG
rnacentral:sRNA from 1 species